UGCCAGCAGCAGCGGUAAUACAUAGGGAGCGAGCGUUGUCUGUAAUUAUUGGGCGUAA
rnacentral:rRNA from 1 species